rnacentral:rRNA from 1 species
UACGUAGGGUGCGAGCGUUGUCCGGAAUUAUUGGGCGUAAAGGGCUCGUAGGCGGUUUGUCGCGUCGGGAGUGAAAUCAUCUGGCUUAACUGGGUGCUUGCUUUCGAUACGGGCAGGCUAGAGUUCGGUAGGGGAGACUGGAAUUCCUGGUGUAGCGGUGAAAUGCGCAGAUAUCAGGAGGAACACCGGUGGCGAAGGCGGGUCUCUGGGCCGAUACUGACGCUGAGGAGCGAAAGCGUGGGGAGCGAACAGG